GGCCAUACCACCCUGAACGUGCCCAAUCUCAUCUGAUCUCGGAAGCUAAGCAGGGUCUGGCCUGGUUAGUACUUGGAUGGGAGAUUUAAAUUAAAUAGCUUGAGCC
rnacentral:rRNA from 1 species